CCCCCUCAACACAACAGCUAGCUCUUUUCGGGUAUGGAAAAUGUAGGUAGAUACUGAUUCUCACCUUCCAGAACCUCAAAUUCCAGCGGGGUCACAGAACAGGUUUAAACUAGGCCAACUCACCUGCUCCCUUUCUUUUCCAAUUAUCUCUUCUGUACCUGCCUUUCCUCCAAGAGCAGAACCAGGAUGCGGCCAGAACUGGCCCCACGUAGGAGCUGAACUUAAACCAGAGGACUCUGGCUCCAAAAAGCACCAAUGGGCUGCCUGAGUGGCCUGCCAAUAUCCACCAAUCAGGACCAGUCCCUUCCAACCAAUCAGGAUGAUGAAACUUUCUCUAUUGUUAUCUAGGUGUUUGGAGGCUGGAAGAAGAAGGCUCUCAUAAGCCAGAGGAGCUAUCGGUUACCACAAAGGUGUACCAGAUGUAAGAUGAAUGAAAACCUGUGAAUGCUUAUCAUGGACAAGCUUACAGAGCAAGUUCAAAGACGAAGAAGCUGUCAGAUUCACCCAGUCAUGGAAGCCACCAUCCCAUCCCUUCACCAUUCUCUGCACCUGAACAUUGGCCCCAUGUGACGGAUUCUAUGCCUCGAUGCCUGCCACCCCAUUCUCUCCUCUCACUCCUCCCCAGUCUCAGUGUGACUUUUGAGAGUCAUAGGACCAGCUCUUCCCUGGAUAACAAUAACGGUACUUCAGACUCAACUCUCUCUUUUUCUAACUUCACCAUCAAGAUGAUUGUGGGUUUUUCAAAUAUAUCAUCAUGCGGCUCUUAAAUCCUUUGUCAGCUCACCAUUACCAAUGCUUGAGAUUUUCAACUCAUAUUUUAUGUGUGUGGGGCACUAUUUGGAAAC